AACGAACGCUGGCGGCAUGCCUAACACAUGCAAGUCGAACGCGUGUAGCAAUACACGAGUGGCGCACGGGUGAGUAACGCGUGGGAACCUGCCCAGUGGUAGGGAAUAACUGCGGGAAACUGCAGCUAAUACCCUAUACGCCCUACGGGGAAAGGUUUUUCGUCCAUUGGAGGGGCCCGGCGUCGGAUUAGCUAGUUGGUGAGGUAAGAGCUUACCAAGGCGACGAUCCGUAGCUGGUCUGAGAGGAUGAUCAGCCACACUGGGAC
rnacentral:rRNA from 1 species